CUGACCAACUUUCGGUCCUGAAUUGGCAGGUGAAAGCGUAGACAUUCUGCGAAAUGCGUUUCAAGACGGAGCGACGUUUACUGGACUUGUAUUUCGCGGUGCAAUUCAACAUAAUUGCGAUGGUUUGCCCCCAAGAUUUUCCAUCCUUAAAGRUCGGCUGUUAUGAAGAUCGAGAUCACCGCGACUUGGGAAAUGUCAUGACAAGCUCCUCCAAUACUCCCUCAGURUGUCU